rnacentral:tRNA from 1 species
GCCCGGAUGGCUCAGUCGGUAGAGCAUCAGACUUUUAUCUGAGGGUCCAGGUUCAAGUCCCUGUUUGGGCG